GCAAGCCUGUCGCAGAGAUUACCCGUGAUCCCAUUAGAUCUUGUCGCUUGCAACUAUAUCGCCCUAAGGCUCUGUGCAGACGAGGAAUGCGACGUCUCGCGCCAUUCCGAUUUCAUAGCGCUGACGCUACACAAUUCGACAAGUUUCAAUUUUUGAUACAAUCUGAGCGUACAAUGGAAAAGCUUCUGACUAGACUGCACACAUAUGUAAGUAUAAAAGUUUAUAUUUUUGCUAAUAUAAUUAAAAUAUUGGAACGUAAGUGGGAGAUUGUUUUGUAUACUAAUUCUCAAUUAAUAUCUUGGAUUUUCAAUCCUCGAUAGGUCGUUAGUACAAAACUAAAUUUUUCAACGCUCGAGUAAUAUAAAAUUAUUCAACGUUCGUUAUUAUUUGUGAUCUAACGAUAUUAUUGUUAUAACUUGCAUACAUUAUUCAGUUUGUUUUCUAAAAUGCUUGUUAUGUAUAUUUUAGAAAAGGAAUUUUUGUUAUCGAAAUCGUACAGGCAGAAAAUUAUAGAAUCGGUUUUGACAAAACUGGUUUACGUGCUGACAUUUUUUGUCGAGUGAAACUUUGCAAAUUAUUUGAACUUCGAGAGUACUUUCCAUUUCUCUGGAAAAGAUAAUAUUCAUAUUACAUAAUCUACUAUAUAAUAUAUGCAGAUAAUACGUAAUUUUUGUAAAAUUUCCACAAUAUCGUAUGUCUCGUCUGCACCAAGUUUAAUUGCUUCUUAUUGGUACCUCAGGGAACGCGUGAGAGAGUGUACUUCUGGUAUAGGUGUCGAUGAUGAGUGGUGACUAUGGUCACGUGGCACUGGAGAUGCGAUCGGGUGACGAGUGUGAGCUCAGGAGGAUGUGAUUAGGUGUAUGAGCGACGACGCUGCGGUGGUUAAUUAAGGGGAAUGUAGAGCUUGAUUGGAUCUUGGUGGAUUUAGGUGGCGAGAAUGUAUUUUGAGAGUGUGACUUGAUCUACGUUAUGGAAGUUGGAAGAGUGAUGUAUGAUUACGUCUAAAGUUUCAAGAUGUUUUCUUGGAGGCAAGUAUGUUUUCCAUGAUCUAAUGUAUCACCAAAGAGAAUAUAUUUACAUAGAAAUAUAUUUAGAUCUAUCGUAAAUUAGAGACUGGUUGUUUUAGUGGUAUGCAUUCGUACACGUAGGUUAUACAACAUUUCUGUUUGCUUACAUUCUGUAUUUGUUUGCUUACGUUCUUGGUUUAGUUGUUUAUAUUCUCCACUUGUUUAUUUUUUCAUUUAAGAUUUUAAAUCUUUACAUUUAUUUUUUUAUACAUAUUUUUUGUUCUGGUACCACGUUAAGGAUUCAGAUUCUUGCAACAUAAGAAGUCAGAUUCUUGUAACAAAAGGUGGGAGAUUUUUAUGAAAUCCUAGAAAUUCCUCCAUCGCGUAUUUCGUUCGAGGAAUCUUCGUUCGCCGAAACGACGUCGUUACCUCUGAAUAAUAGAUAACAAACUAAAAUCCACGAAUUCUUCAUGUAACGAGAGCUUUUCUUCCUUUCUUCAUUCGUAGAACCUCCAUUAGAGAUGAUUGAAGUUCCACUUAUUUCAAUUGCGAUGAAGAAUAGAAUUUAUUUUGCGUAGUCAAAUUAAUAUCCUUUACUCGUAUAACAUUUUCGAUCAAAGAGUAAUUUUUUUGAAACGACAGUAUUCUAAGCUGUUUUGUUUUUUCAAUUCUGUGAAUUCUGUGGAACACACGAUGAUUCCAAACUUUGUGUACACUAAAUACAUGCAUAUCUUUGGAUUAUGUUUGUAUCAUUACUUUAUUGAAAUAUCAUAUUAUGUUAUUUCAUAUAUAGUGUAAUAACAUGAAUAAUAUGUACGUUAUAUUAUAUAUAAUAUAAUAAUCCAAUAAAAUAGUGACACGAAGAUAGUCCAGAAGAUAUAUGGGUUAGAAAUGAUUCGACAACGAUCAUGAUCCGACGAAGUUAUACGCCACAUAAAAAUCGGACUAUUUCCUUCUAUAAACAAUAACAGUGUUGAUAAAACAGUGUUUGGAAAAAGCUUGACAAAAGGGUACCUGCAAGCGAUAUUUGGCCCGGUAAGAGAAUCGGUUCGCGACCAGCUAGUUCCGUAAUCGUAUUUUUCAAUUUCCUGCCGGGCUGCGACCCAUUACGAGAAGUUAAUAAUCGGACUGCUCGAUUUCCCGAAAUAAAUGUCCCCUUUUCGCGCUUUCUGUCGGCCCUCCGCGAGGAGAGUCCGUUUACUGAUAAAGCGAUCGUUCCGUUGCGUGUAUACAAGCAGAAAUAGCUACGAUCGAGCUUCCAACUAAUGCAUACUCAUAUGUAUCACUUUUCAUCUGUUUAUACGGGUACUUACUUUCAAAUAACUGAUGUAUAUAGUUUAUAAUACCGGUCGUACUUGUUCGAACCAUGGGAUGUUCUAAUUUUAACAGUAAUGGGGUGGGUAGACGUACGAAGGGUUGAUCCCUUUAGGGCGAAAAAUAAAUUUUUUGUUUGUUUCUGAUGUUUCAGAGUAACAAAGUUGAGGGAUGAAGUACAUUUAGAAUUAAAUUAAAUUAAAUUAAAAGUUUUAGAUGUGCGUGCGUGUGUGUGUGGGUUUGUUUAUUGUUAUUGGAAAUAAUUUAUUGUAUUUAUUCUGGCUGGCUAUUGAGUGAUAAAAACUUGUAAUUGGAGAAUUUUUUUGUUUUUAGGAUGUGAAUGAUUUGAAAAUAUAUUUUAUAUUUUUGUUCUUUUCAAUGUGAUUUCGUGAAUAUGGUUUUAUUAAGAAAGAUGGUACUUAUUGGAGGUGGAAAUGUAGCAGUAAAUAUAGAUUAAUAGUACCAGGCAAAUAUAGAAAUUGAACACUUUUAUAUAGAAUAAGAAAUAUUCCAUAUCUACUGAAAGCAAAAGAAAAUUAUUUUCAUUCGUGUUAAAAUUAAACGUUACUUAUACAUCAAAAUAUCGAGCGCGAAAUGUUAAGUGUUACACACUAUGUAGGUGGACAUGUAUAUUUAGUAUUAUUUUUACAUUUUCAAAUAAUUGCGAGCGAUAUUGUAUGUGGUACAACUCCGUGUUGAUAUCACGGUGUGGACUACAUGGUAAACUGUUCCGUUUUCUCUCUCUCUGUUCAACUGGUCGUCUCGUUGUCCCUCGACGAGCAUUUGAAUACCAUCUAUGUACUACAUGUGUAUCGCGCUUACGUAUCUCUGUUUCGACUGGAGGACAUACACGUGUUCCCAAGUAAAUGAGUUUCUUUCUUCCCUUUUUUUUUACUCUUUAGAUUCAUGUACUGGUUGGCCAGUAAUAUUUAUUCUUUUUUUAUCAAAAAUUAACUAAUGAAAAUUAUAAUAAUGGUAUUUUUCUUCGAUGUAUAGUGCGGCAAUUGAAGGUUCUGAUCAAAUUGAAUAGAAAAUUGGAAUUUCACUAAAUUUUAUGUACGUAGUUAAGUUUUGCAAGCGAACAAGAACGAAGUACACGAAACGCGUUGUCGAAUUAACAAUUUGAGAUUGUACAAAGGAGAUUGGAAUUUGGUAGGAUCAACCGGCUUGUAGUUAGCGUCUCUUUAAAUAAUCAGGGGUCCGACAAAUAGAGUUUCCGGUGAUCAACGUUCAGCAAGUUUAGAAGCAAUCAGGCUUCUAUCAAUCAGUCUUUAGUUAUCAUCUCCUGAAGCAAUCAGGCCUCCAGCGAUCAGCUGCUGAAUAAUUACAUAUACUUUGACUAGGUUGUGACAAUAUUUGCUUGUAAAAUAUAUCCUUCGUAUUUGUAUAAUUUCUAUUUUAUCGUAUUUUCUUAUAAUUUUUAACGAUGUGUGAAUAAUUCUUCGUGAACUUUCUCUAAACUGAUUUUGAUUUUUUAAUCCUUUCAACCACUUACAUAGUAACUGAACUAUCUUCUUAUUAAACGUAGUUAUAGAGCUUAGUUCUCUUCAAACAGAUUAUAUUUUUGGAUCGAAUAGGUCGUUCUUCCUUUUAACCAUGUUACAUUAAAGUACAUUUUUUUAAUCAUUAAAUAAUAUUGAAAUAAGGAAAUCAACAAAAUUGUGCUUAUCAUAUUUUUUCUCUGUAAUCUUCAAUUGUAUUGAAAAUGUAUGGUCGCACUACCAUAAGAAAAAAAAUGGUAUAUUAAACUGUUUCGCUGAAGUAUCACAAAAUUUAUGAAAAUAUUGAACAGUAUAGCUUUGUUGUCAAACACAUAUGUGGUUACUUAUUUUACAAUGAAUAUUUCGUUUAAAACCAAUAUUCGUAAUGGGGAAAGGAUAAAAAAAAUUUUAUUCUGUGAAUUACUGAAAACAUGUAGCGUUUUGUUAUUUGUAUCUUUAAAUAAAUGAGAUAAAAGUUGUAUUUAAGUGAUCACCUAUUAACUAACGUGGAAGGAUGUAAAUAAAAGGGGGUUGCUACGGGGUGAAUGGGGUCCCCAUGUGUAAAUAAGUGUCACCCGUUGUUUACGUGCGUAUAAAGUACCAAUGAGGGUGUAAAAAGGGUUAUUUUACAUAAUUUUCAUUUAUCAGUGAUUUUCACAAAGGAUGAAAGAGCUACUGUUUUCAAAUAAAAGUAUUACAAAUAUUGAAUGAUCGUGAGGCGAAAAUUUACCUAAAAUGUCGACACAUUAAUUUAUCGCGUUUCUUUCCUUUUUUUAUAUUUUAAUAUUCAAGAAGAGAUAAGCCAAAAUACUAUAUGAAAUAAUGGAAAUUUAUAGCGAUUGAUGGACAGUUAUUGUUAAAAUUAAAAAGAGAUGUUUAAAAUAGUAUCGUAAAUUUACAUUAGAAAAGGAACGUUUCGAUGGACAUUCAUUACUUUAACUGAUUAAUACUCAGGAUUAUUGAACGAAAGCUUCUUUCUCAUUUAAAUUCCAAUAUUGAAAAUAAAAAAGAAAAUCCUCUUUCUCUUUUAAUUGAUAAAAACUGAUGUCAAUUGAUUAACUUCCAAGAUCAAAGAAGAAGAAGAAAAAUAAAAAAAA